GCAGGCGCGCAAAUUACCCACUCCCAGCACGGGGAGGUAGUGACGAAAAAUAACGAUACGGGACUCAUCCGAGGCCCCGUAAUCGGAAUGAGUACAUUGUAAAAACAUCCCCAAAGAUCAAUUGGAGGGUAAGUCUGGUGCCAGCAGCCGCGGUAAUUCCAGCUCCAAUAGCGUAUAUUAAAGUUGUUGCGGUUAAAAAGCUCGUAGUCGAAUCUGUGUCCCGCGCCGCUGGUUCAUCGCUCGCGGUGUUCAACUGGCGUGUCUCGCGGGACGUCCUGCCGGUGGGCUCGCGUAUCGCUUGCGGUGCGUGGCCCAACUCGUUUCCGUCUCGCGCGGUUAUGAAUCCCAUCGCGGUGCUCUUUAUUGAGUGUCGAGGUGGGCCGGCACGUUUACUUUGAACAAAUUAGAGUGCUUAAAGCAGGCCAAUUUUGCCUGAAUAUUGUGUGCAUGGAAUAAUGAAAUAGGACCUCGGUUCUAUUUUGUUGGUUUUCGGAACCCCGAGGUAAUGAUUAAUAGGAACGGAUGGGGGCAUUCGUAUUGCGACGUUAGAGGUGAAAUUCUUGGAUCGUCGCAAGACGGACAGAAGCGAAAGCAUUUGCCAAAAACGUUUUCAUUGAUCAAGAACGAAAGUUAGAGGUUCGAAGGCGAUCAGAUACCGCCCUAGUUCUAACCAUAAACGAUGCCAGCUAGCGAUCCGCCGACGUUCCUCCGAUGACUCGGCGGGCAGCUUCCGGGAAACCAAAGCUUUUGGGUUCCGGGGGAAGUAUGGUUGCAAAGCUGAAACUUAAAGGAAUUGACGGAAGGGCACCACCAGGAGUGGAGCCUGCGGCUUAAUUUGACUCAACACGGGACACCUCACCAGGCCCGGACACCGGAAGGAUUGACAGAUUGAUAGCUCUUUCUUGAUUCGGUGGGUGGUGGUGCA
rnacentral:rRNA from 1 species